rnacentral:rRNA from 1 species
UACGAAGGGGGCUAGCGUUGCUCGGAAUUACUGGGCGUAAAGGGAGCGUAGGCGGGUCGUCAAGUUGGGGGUGAAAGCCCAGGGCUCAACCUUGGAAUUGCCUUCAAAACUGACGAUCUAGAGUAUGGAAGAGGUAAGUGGAACUCCGAGUGUAGAGGUGAAAUUCGUAGAUAUGACAUAGAACACCCAUUGCGAAGGCAGCUCGCUACACUAUUAUUGACACUGAGGCACGAAAGCGUGGGGAUCAAACAGG